UGUAGGGGGACCUCCCGGUUGAGAAGGUUAAAACCUGACCCUUUAAACCUGAUAUAGUUAAUACUAUCGUAGGGAAGCAAAAUAUU
rnacentral:ncRNA from 1 species